rnacentral:tRNA from 2 species
GCCGGUGUAGUGCAGUGGUGAGCACGUUUCGUUGUGGCCGAAGAGACCUUGGUUCGAACCCAAGCACCGGCA